UACGAAGGGGGCUAGCGUUGCUCGGAAUCACUGGGCGUAAAGGGCGCGUAGGCGGCCAUUUAAGUCAGAGGUGAAAGCCCAAGGCUCAACCUUGGAACUGCCUUUGAUACUGUUUGGCUUGAGACCGGUAGAGGUAAGUGGAACUGCGAGUGUAGAGGUGAAAUUCGUAGAUAUUCGCAAGAACACCAGUGGCGAAGGCGGCUUACUGGACCGGUUCUGACGCUGAGGCGCGAAAGCGUGGGGAGCAAACAGG
rnacentral:rRNA from 1 species